UGGGUGCAAGCCGAAAAACCCGACAAAAAAAAGAGUAGGCA
rnacentral:ncRNA from 1 species